ACCAAGAAUCCAAGAACGAUUAUAAAAACUAUUAAAUAGCAACUCAUUUUACUUUAAAAAAGCGUGGUUACACACACUUUUUAUCUUAUGAAAUGCCGAGGUGACAAGUCUAUGUAAAAAAGGAUAGGGACACUACGUUGUAAAAGACUGGAAAUGUUCUUUUAGUUCUCCUCCUACUUGUUAAAUUUGUAUCUUGAUAAUCAAAAGAAUUAAUGAGAAAAUGGUUAAUAAAUCAUUCAUUUCGAUAGCCCUUGCCAAGAUCUUCUUUUUCCACCUAAUCCUAGUUCGGGAAAAAGGCCUUUGUGUCUAUUAGGCACCGCCCUUUAAAAGCAACAGACUUCGUGUGUUGACAUGAUUUAUGUGCGUAUAUAGUCACUCAGCACCAAUAUAGACCUGACAGUGUUUGUAAACGAACGCUAUCAAGUAAGUUAUACAAUUAAAAUUCCAUAUCAUAAGCACUGAACCCUCUCAAAUGGAGAGGCAGGUAUUAACCAAAUUCUUUCUAAGGGCUUUUCCCUUGAAAUUUGGAAGAGGGGGAAACGUACGAGGUUGGCAGGCAAUCGCUGGAACUUGAGUCAUGGCAAUGCUUUAGCCUCGACCACACUUGGGCGUUUUCGUAUGAAAACGCAUUCUUUUUGAUGCGUUUUUGCCUAAGGUCUACACUAAAAUGACUGAAAACGCUGAUCAAAACGAGGCUCUCGAAAACUGUUUCAAAAGUGGAGCCUUUUGAAAACGCAUCGUUUUGUAAACGCUCCGUCUCUAGUUUGGAUAGGUGAAAACGGUGCCGAAAAAAGUGUCCGCACAUACAUUGUCGUUUCCAUCAGCGUUUUCGAGCCUUGUAGUGCGGACGACAGGCGAAAACGUAUCAAAAGAUAUGCGUUUUUAUUCGAAAACGCAGUAGUGUGGAGAGGAGAAAACAAACCGAAAACGCUAGUUUGGGCAAAAAUAUUUUACUACGCUGUUUUCGUUGGGACGAAAACGGGAUACUUUUACAGCCGCAUUAGUGCGAUCGGGCCUUAGAAUUCUGCAAAUGUUUAGCGAUGUGAGAGUUCUUACCCGUAUUCAGUAAGGUGUCCACGGGCACGUGCUGAAAAGUGUCGGGUAGUUUCACCGACAUAGUUGGCAUCACAGCCUGCACUAGAAAAUUUAUACACAACGCUUGAACGAGGAGAAGUUUAAUCUAUAAACAAAUAAACUAAUUCCAGGGUCAGCCUUCGUCGUUGCGCAGAUGGUAAAUUUUGUUUCUCUUAUUAAUUUUUCUUCGUUAUGCAUGAAUGUAAGUUUUCGAGUUGUUAUAUAUUUCUUGAAUGCUGUCAUAUAAUUGGAUCGCUGUAAGUUCGCUGUAAGCAUUUGUGUACGUUUAAUAAGGAUACCCAAGAGACAGUGUCUUUUCUCUUAGGAUACCCUAAAACCCCAAGACAAGGGUGGCACCACUGCCAUGGUCGGGGUUACACGUUCCCCUUUAUUUUUCAACAUGCUACUGAGUUUUGAGGAGUUUUCGUGUCCGGCCUUGGUGCACGUAGAUUUGACACUUCAGUGAUAGUUUGCGGAUCCUUAAGGGUAACUGAUCCGCUGAGAUUGAAUAAAUGGCACGGUAGCUUGGCUGGCCAACGCUCGCAAUUCAAUCAUGACGCGUGUCCGGAUGCGUAUAGUGGAGGCAAAAUAUGUAAUUCUUGUCUACCAGAAAUGCAAAUUCGUGUGUUUUGAUAAGCAUCUUAAUUGAAUGCACCUGACUCAAGGAAAGCAUUAAAAAAAUAUAUUCAAUCAACGGAAACCAUCUGCUGAGUUCGAAGGCGUCAGUGAACGAUGUGGAAUAAGUUUGAUCGUGAGUUUAACAUCUGAAGAAACCAGAAGAAACUACUUCUACGGGAAACAGUCGCUUCUGAAGCAUGAAAUUCGCCUACCAUUACUUUUUUGGAAUGUUUUAUAUCGUUACAUUUGGUAUACUUUGACAACGUAAGCUUUGUGGAAACAUGGACCGAAUGUUCUCGACAUUCAUACCAUUAUUUUGGGGUUUAUCAAGAGUGUUUAUGAAGCCGUUGUGUGCAGGACGACGCUUUGGUACGUAAAUUCCAUUAAUGUCUUGCGUGGCUGAUUGCAGUGCAGGGAAUCUCUUGGUCAGCAUGGGAUUCCUGCUCAAAGACUUGUGGCGAUGGAAUACAACGACGAACACUCAACUGCUCCAGCAUCAAACAAGCGUCCAAAGAAUGGCAAAAUUGUAUUAGAAACAAAGAGACUCAAACGAAAAACUGUGGAAACAGGCCUUGCUCAGAUUUCGCCUUGAAGUGUUACCAGUGCCAGGGGUCAGAGGCGUAUUGCCAAAAAAACAAGCUCAAGCGAAAUCAAACCUACGACGCCUGCAACAGAUAUCACAACAAGUGCAUUACAAAAACGUUCGAGUUAGAGGCUGACGUGAAAGAAGUGACUAGGGGCUGUGGAAAUGAGGUUGAGUGUAGAAUAUCGGCAGAGAGGUGCAAGAAAAAGGCGUAUCCUCGUUACAGGUGUCAUGUCAGCUGCUGCGAAGAGGAUUACUGUAAUAAGGGCGAUCUGUUAGAUGGACUGCUUUCUGACUCGGUAGUUCUCCUGGGCGCUGUAUUAUCCUUAACAAUGCAUUUUCAUUGGACUUAUUAAAAAGUGAAAUUUAUUUAAGAGCCGACAGGGUACAGUUUUACCACAUGCGACGAGUUAAGCUUACGGCCAGUGCACUACACGAAUACGCUGUCUGUCUCGUAUUGUGUAAAUCAAAAACCAAAGCAAAUUUAUAUUUGUUUUCAUUAAUCAUUUCGUUUAGUAAACAAGUCACAAUCGUAAGCUCGGUGCAUGCAGCAUAGUUGUACAGCUUUAAUCCGCCCUCAGGCAAACACCUCUCAAAUCCUGCAGUAAGCUGUUUGCUGUUUAAAAGUGUCUGCCUCAAUAAAGAGUGGGACGUCUGAACUAACCUGAUAGUGUGUCUCUGCCGCCGUUGAACACUAUCACGUCACGUGAUCAGUUUACACCAAUAAGAAUCGGAGAAAAUUUAGAGGUGAACUUCGGCCUCUUCAACUAUCACCGCAUAGAAAUCUCUGGCUGCUUUAAAUUAUUCAGUCCUCCGGCUCUUUAAACCUGAGAACACACGCAAAAAAAUAAAUGAAGAAACAAUGUGCCACAUUUGAAAUCUGAUCGCUGGAUUCAGAGUUCAGAGUGCUGGCAAUUACACCAUAUAACUUCCCUCAUUGACUUGCUCUCCGAAAUAGUCAAUCGUAACCUAAAAGCUACAAAUUUGUCAUUGCUAAAAGCGCUUUUUUUACACUGGAAAAGUCCUCAUUGGAUUGCAUAACACGCAACGCACAAAACGACUUUCAGGAAGAGUAAGAGAACAUGAGGAUUGGCUAGAGUUAUAGGCGCAAGUGAUGUUCAGACCUCUCAGCUGAGCUGACAAUGUCAGGUACAGUCGAACCUCCACACAACGGCUUCCUUGGGACAGAUGGAAAAUGGCUGUUGUAGAGUGGUGGCCGUUAUGGAGAGGUAAAAGGUGUAAUAUGCCCCCUUUUUGGAUGGAGGUUGCGACAUUUUUGUAUAAAAAUACCUUUGUAGUAAAUAAGUCAGUAUAUAAAACAAUCAAAGUGUAUCUAUAAAAAAACAAACCAAACAGAAACAGAGACGAACCACGGGUCGUAUGGAUCAAGUUUGGUAACCUUUUACAACAUAACGUGACACCGUUCACCAGUUGUUAAGUUACCGGGCGUUGUCAAGAAGUCAUUUGGCAGUUCGAUUGCACUUUUCUGGCUGUUACCGUUGUGAAGGAAGUGGCCCACGUGGCCGUUGUAGAGGGGUCGACUUUAUUUCCAGAAUCAGCGAUUUCCUUCAGACAUUAAACUCACUGUUAGUUGACGCCUUGUUUGGGGGCUAAAUUCAAUCAAUCUAGAUUGCUUACUCGUACAGGUGUCACCUUAAAUUGAGCGUAAACUUGAAACGUUACUCGUCGACCUUGUCAGGUCCCAGCUCUUACCUAUUUGAAUUGGUACGGUGCAACAGCAGCAGAAACGUUUGCAAAAAAAAAAAAAAGCAUACAUAUAAAAAUAAGGUCCCACCGAGAUUUGAACUCGGAUCGCUGGAUUCAAAGUCCAGAGUGCUAACCAUUACACCAUGGGACCACACGUGUGCUGGAGACACACUAAUCCAACCUAUAAGUAGAAGCCAUCAGUUUCGAGAGGCUUGUAGAUUCAAAUAUUCACUUGCUUUGGUUGAUGUGUCGUCGUACAAAUCAAAGAUCACCUCUACUUCAUGUCGGGAUUUACCAGUAAGAUAACAACUUUUAAUUUCGAAAAUAUUCUGAUUUCAUCAGAAUCCGGUUAUAUUUUGGACAAAGUCAAGUGUUUGAAAAUUUGGCAUCUGAAAAACAUCUAAUUAAGGUAAU